rnacentral:rRNA from 1 species
GAUGAACGCUAGCUACAGGCUUAACACAUGCAAGUCGAGGGGAAACGACAUCGAAAGCUUGCUUUUGAUGGGCGUCGACCGGCGCACGGGUGAGUAACGCGUAUCAAACCUGCCCACCACUUGGGGAUAACCUUGCGAAAGUAAGACUAAUACCCAAUGAUAUCUCUAGAAGACCUCUGAAAGGGAUUAAAGAUUUAUGGGUGAUGGAUGGGGAUGCGUCUGAUUAGCUUGUUGGCGGGGUAACGGCCCACUAAGGCUACGAUCAGUAGGGGUUCUGAGAGGAAGGUCCCCCACAUUGGAACUGAGACACGGUCCAAACUCCUACGGGAGGCAGCAGUGAGGAAUAUUGGUCAAUGGACGGGAGUCUGAACCAGCCAAGUAGCGUGCAGGAUGACGGCCCUAUGGGUUGUAAACUGCUUUUAUAAGGGAAUAAAGUGAGUCUCGUGAGACUUUUUGCAUGUACCUUAUGAAUAAGGACCGGCUAAUUCCGUGCCAGCAGCCGCCGUAA